AGGCUGUCAAUAUACAAUUGUUGAGUGAAUGAUGGUAAAUACUGAAUGUCUCUCUAAAGACAAUAGUCAUGCACAUAGCUAUGGAGGCAUAAUAAUGUAAGUGAGGAAGAAAUUUUUAAUUGUGAUUUCUGAAUAUAUUCUUUCCAAAUGUAUAAUCCUAUAAGGUUUAUGUCACAUAUAGAGAAAGUUGGAAUGUUAUUUUUUAACAUUAUUAUUCCAAAAUUAUUCUUUGGUUAUUCUUACCCAAAGACUGUGUGCCAUAAUAUUAAUAUUUGGAAAGUUGCAGAAACAGACUUUAGGCUUAUGUCUUCGAAUGCUCUAAGCAACAAUUUUUCAUAGAAUAUUUUACAUUUCUCCCUUUCCUUUCCUCCUUCUAAACUUUCUUAUAUACCCUCCCUUGUUCUGUUUUAGAUUUAUGGCUUAUUUUCCUUUAUUUUUGUGUGUGUGCGUGCGUGUGUGUGUGUGUGUGUGUGUGUGUGCACCUAAAUACAACCUGCUGAGUAUAUAUAAUGUUAUUUGUGUAUAUGUUUUCAGGACUCACCAUUUGGUAUUGAAUAACCAAUUGGUGUGCUCUUCCCUGGGGAAAACUGUAACUCCUGCUCUCAGCAUUCCUUGGUUGUCCUGUAGUUCUGGUCUAGGGUUGAGAUCUCCUGAACUUACUUACUUCCAUGUUAGCACAUCUAUUGGUGUUGUACUUUUACAGAAGAGAUUUUAAGGGACUUUUCAGUAUGGGGGUUUUGGGGGGGAUGUUUAUCCAACAAGAUUCACUCACUUAAUUCUUAUGUAACUUCAGAAUUUAAUGUAAGAAGUAAAACAUUAUGUUAGAGGCUGUGGAGAUGGCUCAGUGGAUAAAAUGUGUGUUGUGCAAGCUUGAGAACCUGACUUCAGAUCCUUAGUAUAUGCAUACCCGACAGUCUAGCCAAAAGAAUGAGCUACCUGACUCAAAACAAAAUGAACAGAAUAAUUGAGGAAGAUAACUAUCAUUAACUACUGACCUCCACACCUACAUGCACAGGUGACUAUACCCAUACAUUCACAUAUAUCUCUGUGUGAAUAUCACUCACUCACUCACUCUAUCUAUCUAUCUCUCUAUCUAUCACAUGCACACACAAAGAAACACUCACAAAUUUAACAAGAUUUUGAUUAAAUGG
rnacentral:lncRNA from 1 species